GCAAGCCUGACGGAGCAACGCCGCGUGAGGGAUGGAGGCCUUUGGGCUGUAAACCUCUUUUCUCAAGGAAGAAGAUCUGACGGUACUUGAGGAAUAAGCCACGGCUAAUUCCGUGCCAGCAGCCGCGGUAAUACGGGAGUGGCAAGCGUUAUCCGGAAUUAUUGGGCGUAAAGCGUCCGCAGGCGGCCGUUUAAGUCUGUUGUUAAAUCGUGGAGCUCAACUCCAUCACGGCAAUGGAAACUGCUCGGCUUGAGUAUGGUAGGGGCAGAGGGAAUUUCCGGUGUAGCGGUGAAAUGCGUAGAUAUCGGGAAGAACACCAGUGGCAAAAGCGCUCUGCUGGGCCAUUACUGACGCUCAUGGACGAAAGCCAGGGGAGCGAAAGGGAUUAGAUACCCCUGUAGUCCUGGCCGUAAACGAUGAACACUAGAUGUUGGGGGAAUCGACCCCUUCGGUGUCGUAGCUAACGCGUUAAGUGUUCCGCCUGGGGAGUACGCACGCAAGUGUGAAACUCAAAGGAAUUGACGGGGGCCCGCACAAGCGGUGGAGUAUGUGGUUUAAUUCGAUGCAACGCGAAGAACCUUACCAAGGCUUGACAUCCUGCGAAUCUCUAAGAAAUUAGAGAGUGCCCUUUGGGAACGCAGUGACAGGUGGUGCAUGGCUGUCGUCAGCUCGUGUCGUGAGAUGUUGGGUUAAGUCCCGCAACGAGCGCAACCCACGUUUUUAGUUGCCAGCAUUCAGUUGGGCACUCUAGAAAGACUGCCGGUGACAAACCGGAGGAAGGUGUGGACGACGUCAAGUCAUCAUGCCCCUUACGCCUUGGGCUACACACGUACUACAAUGCUGCGGACAAAGAGUAGCGAUCUUGCAAAAGUUAGCUAAUANAAGUAAACCGUGGCACAGUUCAGAUCGUAGGCUGCAACUCGCCUACGUGAAGGAGGAAUCGCUAGUAAUCGCAGGUCAGCAUACUGCGGUGAAUACGUUCCCGGGCCUUGUACACACCGCCCGUCACACCAUGGAAGUUGGCC
rnacentral:rRNA from 1 species